GGCUCGGUAGCUUAGUUGGUAAGCGCUCAUCUAGCAUUCAAGAGUCCUGGGUUCAAAUCCCAGCCGAGCAC
rfam:Aedes aegypti strain Liverpool supercont1.234 genomic scaffold, whole genome shotgun sequence.